rnacentral:lncRNA from 1 species
CACCAUUGACUUAAUAUGUAUCUAUUUUCCUCUGAUCUACUCCCUUCUGGAUGAGUCUGCUCAUAAAAUCCAUUACCAAAUUAAAGAAUAUAGGGGAAAUUGGGUCUCCUUGUCUUAGUCCUCUGUUGUUUUUAAAAGGCCUAGUGGGGGUACCCUCCACAACGACAGAGAAUGAAGCAGAUUUUAUGUAGUUGGAUAUAAAGGUUAUUUAAUACUGAGAGAUGCCCAUUACUCCGAGAGUUUCCAAGAUUGCAUCCCAGCUAAUAGUGUCAAACGCCUUCCUCAAGUUCACACUUAGCAUGCACCUUUUCGAGGUUUUUGCCCUACCAAAACCAUGUAGCAUUUCCUCAGCCAAGAGAGUGUUAUCAGAAAUGACCAUACUAUUCAUAAAUGUUGUUUGGUUGGGUGAGACCAGCAUAUUAGCCACCUCAUUCAUCCUAUUGGCUAGAAUCUUAGAAAGGAUCUUAUAAAUGAGGUUCACACAAGAGAUGGGCCUAAAAUCAGUCAGCUCAGAGGCAGUUGGCUUCUUGGGCACUAAAGUGAUCCAAGUGUGAUUACUGAUUAGAAGCUUGCAAAAGGGGUUUCCCUUGGGAAAAAUCCUUCACACAAGCUUGAAUUGUAGAUUUUAGCUUAGGCCAGAAUUUCUGAAAGAAGGAGGAAGUAAAGCCAUCAGAGCCAGGGGCUUUACCUGGACAGAGGUAGAACAACACCUCUCUAACCUCCUUCCCCAGAGGAAUAUGUGAUAGCCAUGCAUUCAUUUCCUGUGAUACCAUUGGUAGGAGUGGGGGGAUACUACUAAGGUUCUUUGUUGCGCCUCAAAGAUUUUGGAGUGGGGCUAGUGGCUAGUUGGUUAUAAGUGUGGCUGGUUGGCUUGGAAAAAUCGGGCUAAUGGGUUGUUGGAUUGUUAGUGAUGUCACCGCUAGAGAUGGUGAUGGGGAUCUGAAAAAGUCCAGAUCUAUAUGCUGGAGAAGACUGAGGGAACUGAAUCCGAUAAACUGGAAUCCACCAGUAAAGGGAAGAAGAUCAGACCUAGGUCUAAGAACUGUAGGGAGAAGGUAAAGAGACAAGUAGAAAAUAAAGAGAGAAGAAAUAAUACCCGAUGGUGAUUCUUUAAAAAAAACAAAAUCCCCUUAUCUACCCUCCACUAUUCCUUUUUAUAUGCUUGACUCCACACUAGUGGUCAAUAUGGAAUCAAGUUUAAAAAAAGGAUAUUAAUGGAGGGCUGUCAUGUUCUCUGAAAUACAGAGAACAUUAGCCACUGCAUCAGUUAGGAUAGUAGGUGGGUCAAUGGGGUAAUGGGUUAGUGGGUAAGUUGGUUAUAAGUGUGGCUGGUUUGCUUGGAAAAAUCAGGCUAAUGGGUUGUUGGAUUGGUAAGAUAGUAUGUGGGCUAAUGUGUAAGUGGGUUGACGGGUUAGAGGGUAGGUGGACUGGCAGGUAGGUGGGUAGGUGGGCUGAUGUAAUAGUGAAUUGCUAGAUAAGUGGGUAGGCUUGAUAGUGGGCUAAUGGAUAGGCGUGACAGUGGGUUGUUGGUAAAUGGGUUAAUGGGAAGGUAGUUAGGCUGUCUAGUGUGGAGAAGGGUUGAAGAAUAGAUAAAUUGAGUAUAGCUUCAAAAGAGAUGAUCAACUAUAUUAAAUGAGAGAUGUGAAUUUACCAUACCUUGGUUGGAAACACUAUCCGGGCUCGUGAGUUGUAGCCCAUCUCUCCAGUAGCCCAACGAGCUAGAGGCUUUAUCGAGAAAUGGGGAAUUCAUGGCUGAUGUGGCAGUUGAGGGUCCCAGUGGCUUGGGAUCUGAUUUAGUUGCGCGGCAUGAGGGGGAGGUGGCAC